rnacentral:lncRNA from 1 species
GGAAGAGCACGUUCAUCAAGCAGAUGCGCAUCAUCCACGGCGCCGGCUACUCGGAGGAGGACAAGCGCGGCUUCACCAAGCUCGUCUACCAGAACAUCUUCACCGCCAUGCAGGCCAUGAUCCGGGCCAUGGAGACGCUCAAGAUCCUCUACAAGUACGAGCAGAACAAGGCCAAUGCGCUCCUGAUCCGGGAGGUGGACGUGGAGAAGGUGACCACCUUCGAGCAUCAGUACGUCAGUGCCAUCAAGACCCUGUGGGAGGACCCGGGCAUCCAGGAAUGCUACGACCGCAGGCGCGAGUACCAGCUCUCCGACUCUGCCAAGUACUACCUGACCGACGUUGACCGCAUCGCCACCUUGGGCUACCUGCCCACCCAGCAGGACGUGCUGCGGGUCCGCGUGCCCACCACCGGCAUCAUCGAGUACCCUUUCGACCUGGAGAACAUCAUCUUCCGGAUGGUGGAUGUGGGGGGCCAGCGGUCGGAGCGGAGGAAGUGGAUCCACUGCUUUGAGAACGUGACAUCCAUCAUGUUUCUCGUCGCCCUCAGCGAAUACGACCAAGUCCUGGUGGAGUCGGACAACGAGAACCGGAUGGAGGAGAGCAAAGCCCUGUUCCGGACCAUCAUCACCUACCCCUGGUUCCAGAACUCCUCCGUCAUCCUCUUCCUCAACAAGAAGGACCUGCUGGAGGACAAGAUCCUGUACUCGCACCUGGUGGACUACUUCCCCGAGUUCGAUGGUCCCCAGCGGGACGCCCAGGCGGCGCGGGAGUUCAUCCUGAAGAUGUUCGUGGACCUGAACCCCGACAGCGACAAGAUCAUCUACUCACACUUCACGUGUGCCACCGACACGGAGAACAUCCGCUUCGUGUUCGCGGCCGUGAAGGACACCAUCCUGCAGCUCAACCUCAAGGAGUACAACCUGGUCUGAGCGCCCAGGCCCAGGGAGACGGGAUGGAGACACGGGGCAGGACCUUCCUUCCACGGAGCCUGCGGCUGCCGGGCGGGUGGCGCUGCCGAGUCCGGGCCGGGGCCUCUGCCCGCGGGAGGAGAUUUUUUUUUUUCAUAUUUUUAACAAAUGGUUUUUAUUUCACAGUUAUCAGGGG